GCUUUGGGUCUGGGAACCGUGCAGGAACUAUGGGGAGAAAAAUAAGAAACCCCCUCUUUUAUUCUUCAUUGCAACCACCUUGUCGAAGUCGCCUCUGCUGGGGUUGCAGGGGUGGGGUCCCCCCAGCUGAGCCCCCCCAGCCCUGUCCCUUUGCCCGUCCCAUGCGAGACGCGUUAGUGCUGCCAAGCCCUCCUUCUGCAGAGUUUUCCUCCAUCCUCAAGGGAUGCUCCUCGCUGUCACCUUGGGGGGACUGUUUUCCACCGGUGGGGAAACUGAGGCACGGAAAAGGGAUGAAGCUGCGCCCGCAUCGCUCUGCUCUGCACCAAAAACCAGCUGUGGGCUUACGCAAGUGGAGAAAAACAUCUGCAUCGGGAUUUUCCAUCCUCAGCGUGUGAUGCCAAGGUGGCCCUUGAAGGCUGGACCAUUCUUCUGGAGCACUUAACAGUGACUUUUGUCAUGUCUGGGCUCAGGCAAGAGCUGGACAUGGGCUGUGGGGGUCCUUCUCCCCAGCUCGUAUGACGGACAGUUGUUGCUUCACAUGCUUAUGAGAAGACAAGCUGCAGGGAACAGCAAAGCCACACACAGGGGUUUGUCCACGAUCGUAGCAGCAGGGAGCACGUGUGGUCUCAUCUUGGGUGGGAGAAGAAUUUCCUCCUACUUUGCUCGAUACAGUCUUCUGGAGGGAGAGGAGCCACCCCGGGGGAGAGCAGCCCAUGAGCGGGAUGCUGGGACUGGAGGGACCCAGAGUGUGGCUGAGCCUCUUCGUCCAGACAUCUGCCUUAGGAGAGAGAAGAAGCUGAGAAGAAACAGGACAUGGUUUGUCCCUCAGAGGGCUCAGAUAUGCAUCUCCUUGCCAAGGGAUUUCAGGAUGCAACAGAUCCACCCACGUACCCUGGGACGGGGUGAAACCCUCCAGAGAGGGGUUACUAAUGAGGUAAAGCACCAGAGGUUCAAGGAAUACCCUCUGCAGCAUUUCAGUUUGGUUCACAUCUUCUCCAGACCCCAUGUCCUCCCCAAAUCCAUCCCCAGAUCAUCCACAUCUCACCCCAGCACCUGCAACUGCGUCAGCUGCCUCCGUCCUCCCUGACGGAUCCCCCCAUCGGCAAUAUUUUUCCAUGACAGAGAGCUAUUCUGAGAUACUUUAUGGCCCAAACCGGAGCUAUGAUUCCCACUUUAAAGGCUCUUUCAUCUUCAUUAGGCCAAUCUGAGUGGCUUAUGUUUAUAAGGAAGAUGCAAAAUCUGUUUAGGAAACCUCGGUGAGCAGAGCGACUGCAGGUGAAGGGCUGAGAUGAAGCAUCCUCUGCCAUAGCUUUGUGUCCGAUACCUCCAUCCUCACUGGUCUCACCACCCGUGCUUUCAGUCCUUCCUCCUGGUGACAACCACAACUGGAGCUCAACCUCUCAGUGCCGGGGAGCUCAGCAUCUCCUGGGGAUGUCGGUACCCCAGCAUCUCAGGAGGAUGCAAGAGUGCCACCCUUGCAACUGGGAUGCUGGUGUGAGCAGUUCCCCCUCCCAGUGCUGGACUGUUCCCAGUGUAACAGCAGGAUACUCAUCUUUUAUUACAAAAUCUUUUUAGUACAAUUUCUUCCUUUUUUUCCAAAGGGUGUCCAGUGUGUAAGUGAUUAGUGGAUGCAGCCGGCUCCCAGGCAGAUGAAUGGGAGUGGUGGGAAGCCAAGACAAGAAGAAAAGGACCCUCCCGCAGGGAGAAUUAUGACUCUUCUUUCUUCUCCCUGAGCAGGGGAGAGCUGAAGAGCAUCCAGGACCAUAUAAUUAUACUGCGAGAGCAGCAUCCUUCAUCCCUGGCUCUGAGGGUGGCCAACAGCAACACAAGCCCACAGGGAUCUUCUCCACUCCACUUUAGGAGUGCCUUGAAUGAGAUCUGAUGGCUUCAUCAUGACCUUGUCCCCAUAACAGCCACACACUCAGGGCGUGCAGCCCUUUCCCGGCAGGGCUGGACACGAGGGUGAGGCAUCCGUGGGUGAACGGGUUCAUUAGCCGCGUGAUUUCUGGCCUUUCCGAUUUAAUUUGGAGAAGAGGUCUCACCUGGGUGUGAAUGAGCCGCCGUGCGUAUGUCACAACUGUGCUCAAAUCCCAUGGGACGUGGAGCUGCCGUCCCGCCCGGUUCCAAACACCAGCGUCAAGGGGGCAAGAGGUGCUCUGUGGCUUCCCAAAACGUCAUGAUGGCCACGAUGGUCUGUCCUAGGAGCUACAUGUCCCUUUGGCGCAGCCACGUGCCUUUGGGUGCUGAGACAGUCCCCUUCCCUGUUACCUGGGGACAGAUUCCCUGCAGGAUGUUGACCCAGGUCUCCUGGGCUCAGCACCCAUUUCUGCUCCCGCCCGGGUGCAGCUGGUGGUGCUGAGGACUCUGGUGCAUCUGGACCAUCUUCAUCUUAUGUUUGUGAAAUGGGAUAAGGAUGGAUCCACAAGGUGGUUGCAUUAAGGGCUUGUGCAGGGUAUAGUGAGCAAAGACCCAGGAGACAUCCAGAAGAAGACCCAGUUGGAUCACCACCAUAAAACUAUCUAUAUCUCCAUCCUUUGAAGAUUUUAAAUCCAGAAAAGACUUACUGAUGGUAAAACUAAGCCUUGGAUCCAGAGACUGGUAGAUCACCCAUAGGACCAGGGCCUUUUUGGGUGCCUAAAUGGAGGUGAGCAACUAUGUGGACACCCAGAAAUGUGGUUUCCAGCUGGCUUGGAUCAAGGGGUCCCAUCUGAAACCACCCAUGUCUGCCCUGAGUCCGUGGAAGUCAAUGGAAUACAAGUCAUGCACCUUGCUCCUGGAGAACAAUGCUGCUGCUUGCUUGGUUGUAUCUUCUCGGAGGAGCAAGAGCAGCUCUGAAGUUAAGGGCUGGGAAUCCCACCACCCAUUCCUUGGCUCAUCAACCACCUGGUACCAAGCUUAAGUUCUCAUGAAGGUGCUGAGCUCCACAGCAAGAGCAGCUCUGAAUUUAAGGGCUGGGAAUCCCACCACCCAUUCCUUGGCCCAUCAACCACCUGGUACCAGGUUUAAGUUCUCGUGAAGGUGCUGAGCUCCACAGCAAGAGCAGCUCAGGGCAGCCUCCAGUAGAAAAAGAAAUAUGGCACAUAUGUGUUUUAUCAGAGAGAGAGGAGACUUUUCCUCUCUACUGGCAUCAACUGAUUUUCCUCCUGACAUUGAUGAAAUCAAGAUCAGACCUAAAAUGAAGAAGAAAUGAUUGUGUGGCAUGGGAGCUGUUAGGACUCAUUGCUGCUCUGCCUAAAGCCAAUGACUUUUCCUAACCCUGCUUACAUGCAAAAAUCUCUAAUUGUGCCUGAUUCUCUCUGAUUAGAACCAAAAUUGGGCACUUCUCUAGGAAGAGGCAGCUAAAGGCAUUUUGGGAUCUGAACGACAUCACUCUGAUCUAUUUGCUUGUAGGUAUUUUCUGCGAUUACUUUUGCUAUUUUUGCUCAUAGGUAUUUUCUGAGGUUACUUCUGGUAUUUUUGCUUGUAGGCAUUUCCUGGCAUCCUCUUUUCUUCUUGAUAUUUGCGAAAAACUUGAGUCACAUCACCCUGCUGGACAGAUCAUGCACCGACUAUCAUUGCAGGACCCAUGCAAGGCUGCAGCAAAACCUGUCCCCAAUGAAGCUCCUGCAGGGACAAGAACCUUUACAGCUCGAACAGGUUUGUUUCUGCUGCUCUUCCAAGUUUGUGGUAAAAGGACACAUCUCUGCAGCGCAUGCCCAGGGCGAUCUGUGGGUCACUGUGCUUAAUAACCCUCCACGGAUUUCUUUUUUCACAAUCUUUUCUAGAGUUUGCUUCAAGCCAUUCGAUUUCCAGCACCUACGGCAUCCUCGGCUGGGAGCUGCACAGCCCAUGUCCUUGCUCUGUCAAGAAAUGCAGCGUUUUUUUAAUUAUAGGAGCAACGUUUCCAAUGACACAAGUGUUUUAAAAGGUGCUCGUUGUUGCUUAGCAGCUCCUGAUCAUCCUUCAAGACCCUGAUCUCCCUUAGAAAUGAUGCUCUGGUGGGUACCAGCUGCACAUCUUGCACCAGGACGAGGUGUGUGGCACUGGUUUUGCACUGAGCUGAGCUUGAUGGGGACCCAGAGACUCGGGGAGCUGUGGGUGAAAGGGCUUUGGGUGGCCAUGGUGUGAUGUCUGGGGAUGCUCCCACGCAGCAGUUGGUCUUGCUGCAGAUGUAGCCGGUGAGCAGAGCCAAAGGCAGGAGGAGCAAGACCGUCUGCACCUGGGGAGGGGUGUGCGUGACCCCAAAAGAUGCUGGGGAAAGCAGCCUGGAAAAGCAGAUGAGGGAACACUUGUCAUUUUGGACAUGCAGCUCUGCAUACGGAGAGUUCUCUCUAGGGAAGCUGUUGGUUUGCACAGCAGGCUUUGAGCACCUCUUGGCACAUUUAUCCCCCGUUGUGGCUGAAUUCCCCCAAAUAUUGGUAGGCUGGAAAAUGAUCACAUGUUCUGGCACCUCCAGAAUUCCCUUGUCUUUCUCAUCUUGAUUUUUCCAGGCAGAAAGUUCAUCCCAACUGGCAAAAUCUUUUUUUGGGGAAGCCCUGUCAUAGAAUAGCAGAAUAAUUUUGGUUGGAAAAGAUCCUCAAGAUAAUUGAGUCCAACCAUUCCCCACCCCUGGCGCUGCCCCAUGUCCUGAGAACCUCAUGUCCGUCUGUCCAACCCUCCAGGGCUGGUGACUCCAGCACUGCCCUGGGCAGCCUGUUCCAAUGCCCCACAGCCCUUUGGGGAAGAAAUUGUUCCCCACAUCCAACCUCAACCUCCCCUGGUGCAACUUGAGGCCGUUUCCUCUCAUCCUAUCUGCCAUAGAAUCAUUUUGGUUGGAAGUGUCCUGCAGCUCCAUCUUGAUCCCAUCAGAAAUUAAAACAGGAGUCUGCAGCUUGAUUUUCCAUGGGUUUGGAAAGUUGGAGUCGGGCUCAUCUCGGCAAUCACAACUGAGCCGACCCGAGUUUUCUGCGGCUUUAUUCCUGUUACACCUGCCUUUCUCCUGGAGCCCUCCAAGGGAUCAAGGCAAUGGCAUUCCCUAGUGAGGAGCAAGCUGGCUCAGAAGAGGCUCUCAGCUUCAGAAACAAUCACUAAUCUGGCAGUUGAGCACAGACAUUACAGUUCUUGUUUGUCCUGGUUUUGCCCCUCAACACCAAUCUCCUUGGACAGCAGUGAAAGGACAAAUACCACCGUGACCUUUCUCCAGUGCACCUAGUUUUCUCAUGUGUGCCAGAUUUUCCUCACUGGGAUGCGAGAAGCACAACAUCAGGGCACCACCAGGACAUCACCAGGACAUCACCAGGGUAUCACCAGACCAUCACCAGGCAUGACCAGGCAUAAUCAGGUGUCACUAGGCAGCACCAGGGCAUCAUCAGAUGUAACCAAGCAUCACCAGGCCAUUACCAGGACAUCACCAGGCACCACCAGGGCAUUACCAGGGCAUCAUCAGGGUGUCACCAGGUGCCACCAGACAUCACCAGGUAUCACCAGGUGCCACCAGGCAUCAGCAGGGCAAGUCCAAGCAUCAUCAGGACAUCACCAGGGCAUUAUCAGUUAUCACCAGGCAUCACCAGAACAUCACCAAGCAUCACCAGGUAUCACCAAGUGCCACCAGGCAUCACCAGGGCUCACAGCCCCUCCAUGCCCCCAUUCCUGCAUGCACAGUGCUACAAAACAGAAACUAAUGGUCCUGAGCCCCAUCUGUUGCUAUUUAUGUCCCCCUCAUUAAGAGUUUUUGGGGGAAAUACAGUUGACUUUCUUUCUUGGAAAUGCAGAGGAUCAAAGUAACCACUGGGCAUCCCCAGUACAGGAAAGACACAGAUGUCUCAGAGCGAGUGUGCUGUAGGAGCAGUGAGACGGUCACAAGGGCUUUGGGGCUGUAACCCCCAGCAGGGAAUGAUGGCUUAGGGAGGAAUAAGUCCCUUUUCUCUUGAGGAACCGCUCAGAGCAGACGGGAGGGCGAGAGGAAGGCAGUUGCCCUUCAGGCUGAUGGUGCAAGGAGCUCUCAGGAACGAGGUAUCGUGUUGCAUAGGAGAACCCCUGCAAGGUGCACUUCUUGCUCAAUUACAGCUGCCGGGAAUAAAAAAAGACCAAACCCACCAGUCAGUAAAUACAGUAAAUAUUGCACCUUAUUUUAGUCUGAAUGAAUCUCAUUUCAACUCCUGGGUUUGGAAAUUGUCCUGUUGUCUGGGCUGGAACGACAGGAUCAGCAAAUCUUUGGCUGGGGUAGGGGCACAGCCAUGACCCUCUCAAGGGGGUGCCCUGGGGACAUCCCUCCUGCCUGGAGCAGGUCCUCGGGUCCCUGUCACCCAUCCGAGAACAUGGACGUGCCCCUGGGAUGUGGCUUCUUCUCCAGUGACAGCAGAGCCAGCCCAGACCACGGACUGGGAGGAGCUGCCUGACUUUUGGGUGGCUAAAAGUGCUGGGGACAAAUCCUGCCCUCCCUUGGGGAUGGGAUUGCCCCCCCUGCCUGGCACGUGUGCACCCCAGCCCCAGGGCAAUAGGAGACGUGAGUUUAGGAACCCAAAACUGUCCGAUUCAACAUUUUCUUUCCUCAUUCACAUUUUCUUUUUGGAGCCAGUCAUAUACACGCAGACACACACAGACGCAUUUGCACACCCAGAGCCAAAUCCCCGAUUAUUGCCUGUGCCCCUAAGAGGGAUUACAGCUUCUUAGAGGGGAGGAACCGGCUUUCAGCAGGGUUUAGGAGCCCCGCGGGGACUUCAUCCCUGUAACUCUGCUGCGUUCCAGGGUCCCACAGGAAGAGAACUGCACCAGCCCCUUCUCCAGCCCACGGGAUGCUCAGCCAUGUCCCACUUUCCUUCUUUCUGUGACCUCAACUCUCUUUACAUCCCACACUGAAGUUGCAGGAGGGAAGAGAGGAUGGGAGGGGGAUUUGGGAGGCUGGAGGGGGCUGAGAGAGGAGCACGAACAGUGUCGCUCGUCCCUUCGCGAUGCUGCCCCUGCCCAGGGCUGGUGCUCUCAGGGCUGGAUUAAGGGCGAAGGAGCUUAGCAAAGACCCCGGGCAGAGCCGGAUCCCAAAGCAGCCCCAAGACCUGCGGUGCCUUCCUGAGCACAUCUCCGCAGCUCCAGCUGGAUCCUAAAUCUCCAUCCAAUGCCCCCAGUGCCCCCCAUGCCCUCCCCAGGCCAGGAUUACCCCAGGCAGGGCAUCCUGGGGCAGUUUUGUGUCCAGAGCUUGGGGCUGGUGGAGAGCGUGAGCCCUUGAAACCUAUGGACCCUGUACCUCAGGGUACAGCUUUUGGUGAUAUUUGUGGAGCAUGAGUGUGGGCAGUGGAGCAGCACUAAAGUUUACUCUGAUUUGGGGUUCCCUGGUCUUCAGAACCUCUGAACUGCCUCUUACUGCUUAUUAUUUUAUAGCAAAAUACCAAUUAUUUGUGUUAGUGGUGGGAGCUAAUCCGAGUCAUUGCAAUCCUAAGAGACUGGGGUGGGUAGGGUUGGAUUAGUCUGUCUUUUCCUCUAGGACAUAGUGAAUGAUGGGAGCUUAUCCAGGGUUACCUGGACCAUCUCUUCACUCCAUUGCACAGGAACAAGAAAUGGAGAAGUAUUGCAGUUUUUGACAUUUCUUCCUCAAAGAGAGACCAUGUGAGAGCUGGUGGGCUGUUUGCACGCAGAGCGCGUGAGCUGUUGAAGGUUGGAGAAGCUGCAGCACGUGGGCGACGGUGGUGGGGACCUCAUCUCUCCAGAAACUACAGCGAGAAGCAGAUGGAGUGGGAUUUGGGAUGGGGUAGCAAUACAAUAAUUUUGAUACCCAGAGAAAUGUUGUGCAUUCCUACAUUUGCGAGGAAGCAGAAGACAUGGAUGAGAGGAAAUGGCCUCAAGUGCACCAGGGGAGGUUGAGGUUGGAUCUGGGAACAAUUUCUUCCCCAAAGGGCUGUGGGGCAUUGGGACAGGCUGCCCAGGGCAGUGCUGGAGUCACCACCCCUGGAGGGCUGGACAGACGGACAUGAGGUUCUCAGGGGCAUAGGGCAGUGCCAGGGGUGGAGGAAUGGUUGAACUCAAUGAUCUUGAGGGAGAGAAGGAUGCUCUACAACAGCUGCUCACCAGGAUGCUUGAAAACAAACAGGGUUGUGUGAUCUGCAUCUAUGGCUUGCGAAAGAGUUGGCCAAGGAGUACCCAGCUCUCCUAGUGUUGGCUUCAAUUAAUCAUAGAAUCAUACAGUAAUUUUGGCCCGCCACUACCCCGUGUCCCUGAGAACCUCAUCUCCAUCUGUUCAACCUCUCCAGGGCUGGUGACUCCAGCACUGCCCUGGGCAGCCUGUUCCAAUGCCCCACAGCCCUUUGGGGAAGAAAUUGUUCCCCACAUCCAACCUCAACCUCCCCUGGCACAACUUGAGUCUGCUUCCUCACUUCCUUUCUGGAUGAGACCAGAAAUCCUGGACCAAUGGAGGGGUUGUAGCUGACGUCCCCACAAAGAGCGGGGAAGGAUGCUGAAGAUGAACAGACCAAACGUGGAGUGCUCAACCUUGGGUCUUUCAGAGCCAUUUAUCUCUAUUAGCAUCACCGAGACUCUCUCAUUGAAUUCCCCCCUCCCUCCCUUCCGCGCUCCCCCUUUUUCUCUAAAUGCUCCCCAAACAACUCAGACAUCAAUGGAAGGCAGAAGAAAUGGCUACUCUUUGUCUCCCUGAAGAGGCAGCUUUGCAGCGAGCCCUGUCGGGGCAGCUGGCGAUGAGCUACCAGCAGGGACCAUUUUCACGUCUCCCUUUGUGAAGGAGCAGCCUUGAGCAAAAUGCCACUCAAGGGGGCAUUGAACAAAAUGUACGUUCGCCUCUUCCAUGUGGCGCUUGGCGCCCGUCUCCGCCUCUGACGCUAAUGAUCCGGAUGAGGGCUGGUUUUUAAAAUAAUAGGGAGAAGAAAAUGAAAGGGAAAGGGGCUGGAGGAGGGAGGUCAGAUCCAUUUAGGAGCCCAAACAUUUACGGGGAAAGUGCCUCCUGAGUGGUUGCACAAAGGGUCAGGCUGUACGUGGCUUCAUCCCUCCUCCCCACCACGACUGGCCAUGAAAAGGGGGAACCAGAACUGUAGGGCCUCCGUGAAAGACAAGGAUAAUGGAUUUCAUUAUAGACGAGCACGUUAAAUGUCUAUCCACUCGUGUGCAAUAAAGGAAAGCUGGUCUUCA